AAUGUAGGACGCGAGCGUUAUCCGGAGUUACUGGGCGUAAAGCGCGGGCAGGCGGUCUGACAAGUCUGAUGUGAAAUCUCCGGGCUUAACCGGGAGAGGCCAUUGGAAACUGACAGGCUGGAGGGCAGUAGAGGUAGGCGGAAUUCCGGGUGGAGUGGUGAAAUGCGUAGAGAUCCGGAGGAACACCAGAGGCGAAGGCGGCCUACUGGGCUGCACCUGACGCUGAGCCGCGAAAGCCAGGGGAGCGAACGGG
rnacentral:rRNA from 1 species